ensembl:lncRNA
UGGUUUUGCUGUUCGUCAUCGCUGGACUCUUUUCUCCGUGCUCUUUCCUCACAUCAGGUCAGAAAUGUCUCCCAUUGUUUACAAUUUUAUCAUAAUAAAUGUUUACAUUACUAAAAGCUCAUUUGUGAUGUUUUAUGGAUAAACUGUGUGGUGUUACAGGUGGAAACGGCAUGAAUGUAUAUUACUGCGACACUGAAAACUGUGUCAAUGAUGUAAAGCGUGUUUACUGUGAAGAUCUAGAGCUCCUGGGUUUCAAAUUGUCAGAGAUUUCAAAUUGUUCCUACGGUCCGCUUCCACCCAAUACCAUCUGCCAACACAGAGGCCACUUGUUUGUCUCCACCUUCUUAAAGUCCUGUGAAUUUGAAGGGGACACUGACUAUAUAGAGACCAAAAAUUGUACAGACUGCUCUUUUUUAAAUAGAGCUACCACACCGGCAGUCACCCCAAGCACUGUGGAAACAUCUUCGCAGCCCAAUUCCAAACUUCUAGGUGUCGUGCCCGCAGUAGCCUGUUCUACAGGUGUGGUACUGCUGUUAGCGGGUUUCUUUUACAGAAAAGCAAAAAAUCAGCAACAACAAAGACAGACUCAAACCAGUCCUGGGUUGCAGAAUGACAGCUCAUUAGUCUAAUGCCUUGGAUCUAACAUCAUACUCCUUGUUCGAGGCCAGGGCAUGCCUCCACUAAGGGUCCUUCCUGCUACCCAAGCCUACUGUGAGGGACAACUGUAGCCAUGCCGGCUCGGACGUCGUCUUGAUUAAGGUCUGCAUGAGGUGUUGAAGAACCAGAAGAGUUUACAUAAGCAGACAGCAUCAUUCUGAUGCUCGCACUUUUGGCUAGUACUUAAAUAGGGCUUUUCCAAGUGAUGGCAACAUCAAGAAGAAGGAAUGCUCAAUAGCAGAAUAAGCUGUUUAGUACUACCUGAAAGAAUUUGCCAAGUUUUUCAUGGGGGAAAUCCAAAAAUGUAUUUUCCUCACAAAUGUGACACAUUUAUGUGGAAAUACACAGGCUUUCCAACAUGGAAGUACAAAGAAGGAUUGUUACAACCAACUUUAUAUUAUCUGUAGAUGUAUUAUUAUGUGUGUAAAAAGAAAAUAAUCAUAUUUCUAACCAAAAUGGUUUUCCCUCUUUAAAAUUGUUUAUUUAUUCUUCUUCUCAUUAUGUUCUCUAUGAGACUGGCUGUUGUCAGGGCCCAUUUGUGCCCCUUUACAUACUUUUUUUUUAAUCCAGUGGUGCACUGAAUGAGAAGCAGGAAAGGAAGUGUACAUUUGAUUCAAAGAAAUGGGAUGUAGUCUAUAUUUACAGCUAUAUGCAGUAAACUUUGUUAUUAGAGACAAGGACAUUUAGUUAUUUCUGAACAUGUGUAAGGCUGUCAAACAGUAAUUGUUUUGGCCUUUUCUGAGAAGAAAACAGUUCUUUAUAGCACCUAAAAGUAUCACUACAGAAAUAUGCAUUGGUGGAUUUCUUUACAGAGAAGUGGGUGAAAAUUCCUCCAGAGCUGUGUGCAAACUUAUGCUUUUCAGCAAGGAUUCCUCCAUCAUGUAUCACAUCAGUGGUUCCCAAACUUUUUUUUUGCUAGUUUGGGCACAAACACAUCCUUCAACCACACACACCCAUUUUUGUUUUUCAAACUCCAUUGCAGUUUAUUUCACACCUCAAACCUUUUGUAAACAGUGAAACACAGAAAAGUAAACUGUAAUAAAUUACAGCUUGCAAUAAUAAACCACUAAACAAACCAUCUUUAUGGUGAAAUUAUUUUACGUAUAGUUGUUGUUGUUUUUUUACUGUGUAAGAAUAUUCAACCAUGCUAUCAAUACAUUUUUCAAAAAAUGUCUCUCUGUGCAAAAUGAGUUUAAAAACAUAAACAACUGUGGGAUACUGUUUGUCAGUGAUUUGAACCAGGAAAACAAACUGUGGCAGGAUCAGCCUGAUAUUAUUUGUAUCCCACUGUAACUUUACUGUAUAAAGAGCUAACAUCGCCAAAAUUUCAUUAUAAGAAGUGUUUGUGAAUUAAAAAUCAAGAAUGUGGGAUACUGUUUGUCCGUGAUUUGAACAGUCCAGCGCAUGCUCCUGACGCAGGGGAAACAAAUUCUGUCGGGGAGACCAACCUUGGCAGCACCAUUGUGCAGG